UGGGGAAUAUUGGACAAUGGGCGAAAGCCUGAUCCAGCCAUGCCGCGUGUGUGAAGAAGGUCUUCGGAUUGUAAAGCACUUUAAGUUGGGAGGAAGGGCAUUAACCUAAUACGUUAGUGUUUUGACGUUACCGACAGAAUAAGCACCGGCUAACUCUGUGCCAGCAGCCGCGGUAAUACAGAGGGUGCAAGCGUUAAUCGGAAUUACUGGGCGUAAAGCGAGCGUAGGUGGUUUGUUAAGUUGGAUGUGAAAUCCCCGGGCUCAACCUGGGAACUGCAUUCAAAACUGACUGACUAGAGUAUGGUAGAGGUUGGUGGAAUUUCCUGUGUAGCGGUGAAAUGCGUAGAUAUAGGAAGGAACACCAGUGGCGAAGGCGACCACCUGGACUAAUACUGACACUGAGGUGCGAAAGCGUGGGGAGCAAACA
rnacentral:rRNA from 1 species